rnacentral:misc_RNA from 1 species
GAGACACUUUACCUGAUGACGGUAUCAUUUGUGCUUCCCCCUUCUAAUGUGUUUCAUUCGCAUAUGCAUGAAGUAAUUCACAAAUGAUUCUGUAUGCUUAUGCAUAUGGGGAUAUGGGAUGCAAUUGUUAGCUUGCAAUUCGCAGUACAUGCACAAGAGGGCGUUGCUUAUUUUGAAUUCUAAAUAUUAUUGUCCAUGUAUUGUUCUCCUUUCAUUGUAUGCCUAUUGUCCCCUUAUAACUGGUUGCUUCAAAAUUCAAAUUAUGAUUCUUUUAAUGCAGAUCUCCCUCUACCGCCAGUGCUG